rnacentral:rRNA from 1 species
GAUGAACGCUGGCGGCGUGCCUAAUACAUGCAAGUCGAGCGAACAGACGAGGAGCUUGCUCCUCUGGCGUUAGCGGCGGACGGGUGAGUAACACGUGGAUAACCUACCUAUAAGACUGGGAUAACUUCGGGAAACCGGAGCUAAUACCGGAUAAUAUAUUGAACCGCAUGGUUCAAUAGUGAAAGACGGUUUUGCUGUCACUUAUAGAUGGAUCCGCGCCGCAUUAGCUAGUUGGUAAGGUAACGGCUUACCAAGGCAACGAUGCGUAGCCGACCUGAGAGGGUGAUCGGCCACACUGGAACUGAGACACGGUCCAGACUCCUACGGGAGGCAGCAGUAGGGAAUCUUCCGCAAUGGGCGAAAGCUUGACGGAGCAACGCCGCGUGAGUGAUGAAGGUCUUCGGAUCGUAAAACUCUGUUAUUAGGGAAGAACAAAUGUGUAAGUAACUAUGCACGUCUUGACGGUACCUAAUCAGAAAGCCACGGCUAACUACGUG